AGAAUCAACGCUGGCGGCGUGCCUAACACAUGCAAGUCGAACGAGAAAGUGGAGCAAUCCAUGAGUAAAGUGGCGCACGGGUGAGUAACACGUGACUAACCUACCCUGGAGUGGGGAUAACUGAGGGAAACCUUAGCUAAUACCGCAUAAUACCUACGGGUCAAAGGAGCAAUUCGCUUUAGGAGGGGUCGCGGCAGAUUAGCUAGUUGGCGGGUAAUGGCCCACCAAGGCAGUGAUCUGUA
rnacentral:rRNA from 1 species